CAUUUCAGAUUUUUUUUAAAAAAAAAAAUUGUUUUUGAAUACUGUUUUGGUUCAGUGAGGAAAGCGCCAAGCUUUGUGGUAGUUAGAUCUGAUGGAACCAUGAACUUGGAUUUUCAUUCUUGGGAUUUUCAUUCUUGGAAUUUUUGUGAGUGUUUCUGUAUUAGGUUUUAAGAAGCCGAACUAAUAGCCUUGCUUAGCAGCAAGCACUACAUACCAAUGCCAGCUGAAGAUGGAGACGGAGAACUAGAACCCUUUUCAACUUGAUGUGAGAAAUCUCCUCGCUUUUAACCCGUUUCACAACUUUCCUUCCCUCCCCACUUCCAGGUUUGCCCCUUUUGUUCCUUCAUAAUAAUUAUUGUUUUUGUAGUAGUUUGCCUCAGUUUGAUUUUUUAGAUGAUCUGUUAUAUGGAUAUUUUUCGUCUUUCUCUUUGGGGUAUUUUUUUAUUGGAAUCAUGAGAAAUUUCUUAGGGGCAAAGGUGAUUUGGAGCUCUAAAAUAAAUUGAAUAGCCAUGCACUAUGAUACUUAUUUCCUUCAAACUUGGUUAAGAUAGUUUUUUUCUUCAAAGCAUGAACUGCAGAUUUUUGUUUUGCUUAUUUGAUCCGUAAAAGAUGUGGAAUUUUGUUCCUUUUUGGUUUUACCCAUUCUUUGAAUAUAUGUAGAAAUUGACAUUGCUAUUUUCUAGAGUACAAAUUUUUUGCUCCUUUUUUUGGUCAAUAUCUUAAUCAUAUUCCACACAUACUAUUAGUCUUAUUCCAACCUGUAAUUCCAAUUCUUUGAUUGCAUUCCUUUGUACCCUAAUAUUUAUGUCAUUUUAGCAGUUUAAAUGUUAGCCUAUGAUUUUACAUAUCAUGCUUAUGGGUGUCAAUGGUUGCUAGAAUUAAACUUUGAUCUUUUUUCUAUAAGCAUCAUUUUCAUCCAAACUUUCUAGUUCUUUAUGAGGAGAUGAGAAGCUUGAUGAACACGAGGAUGGUUAUGAAACAAAGGAUAAUAGUGAUAUGUACUUGGACAAAGAUGGGGAAGAUCGUGAAAUGAAUGUAAAGAUAUUAAUUUAUUGCCUUUUUUUCGUUCUUAUGAUUCUGUCUUCUUUUCUAGUGGGUUGUUCGGGAGUCCUGAAAAAUCAUUUGGGCAGAUCUUAACUUGAGGCAAUUGCUGUGUUUGCAACAUAGACACCUGAUUUUGUGCAUUUGAGAAUUAAUCCUUAUUUUAGAGUUUGGGCUUCUUGCUUCUUGGUUUAGUUCUCUUUUCUACUGUUAUAAUGGUGGUUUUAAUAUUCUUAUGCGUCAAUUUUUUUCUACAAUUGUAAUAGACAGAGCUAUAUUUUUAGAAUUUCUUUCUGGCCAAAUUAUUGCUCUCUUUCUGUAAGUGAAAAAUUGGAAAAGGUUAUAUAAUUUAAAGAUUAGUUAUCCAUGUGAGCCUGUAUAAAAAAAUUAUACAUGUAAGUCAAAUUUUAAGAGAUUAUGAAAUCAGUAAAAUAUUUGGUGAAGAAAGGAAAAUCGUAACAAAUGUAACAAAAUUAUAAUUGAUCCCAAGCUGUUAAACUUUUAUAAGUAGGCAUCAACCCGUCACUUUCUCUUGAGUUGCAUACUUAAACUCUCCCUUACAGCAGUUUUGGAUAACUCUUACCUUCUCCAAAAGGGUUUCCAUUGAAAGAGUGGUGGGGUCCUACAAAUGGAGGAGUUGUCAGUUGGCCACCCUGUUGGGUAGUACAGACAAGGACCAUUAAUACACCCAUUUUUGGAUCACCUUUUCUUUUCUAGUGAGAUCAUGCUGGAAAAUAUGCGACUGGAGAAGAAGUUUCCUUGGCAGAUCUGUUUCGAGCACCACAGAUUCUGGCUGGGAUUGAAUGAUUUAAUGUUGACAUGGAAAAAAGAAGAGCCUGGUUGAUGCUGUUGAGAAAGGGAUUGAUCUACGCAAACAAAUACUAGAACUAUAUAAUGAUUAUUACCAUGGCGGACCGAUGAAGCUAGUGGUAAUUGGUGGUGAGUCUUUGGAUGUACUUCAGCACUGGGUUGUUGAAUUAUUUUCUGACGUCAGACAAGGUUCUCAAGGAAAGCCAGAGUUUAAGGUGGAAGUUCCUGUCUGGAAAGCUGGUAAACUUUACAGGUUAGAGGCAGUUAAGGAUGUCCGUAUCCUUGAAUUAAGGUGGGCACUGCCUUGUCUUUUGCAAGCGUAUCUAAAGAAACUAGAAGAUUAUUUGGCUCAUCUUCUUGGCCAUG